AAUGCGGUCCUACCUAUGCGCGUCAAAAUGUAAGCGAAAUAUGUGAACAAAGUGGUAGCCUGUUAGGAAUGUAUGAAUUAAUGAAGAAACUCGUGUAUUGAUAUUAUGUCAUAGAAUUGGGAAGAAAGGUUGCUGGUGGCAUAACAUUUCCCAUGUCGGACCUCGAAAGCCGCAUCACAAAUGAAUUGAGGAAUUCGAUUGCAAGAAAGCACUGUUGAAAAAAACAUCUUGUGAAAAAAUGAACUUUUUUAUAUUUGCUCUGUGUGCCGCACCCGGAUAAUGAGCGCAAAGCGGUCCUUAACAAAGGAAUGCUGGAUUUGUUGAUAGAUUAUUCCAUAGGAUGGGGGAGAAUCGCGGACAUGAACAAUGCUGUGAUUGAGAGGAAUUUCUACUCAAGAAAACAGUUUAAAAAAGGCCUUCAACGUGAAAGAGUGAACUUUUUUAUUUUGGCCGUAUAUAAGAAAACUUUGUUUUUAAA